UACGUAGGGUCCGAGCGUUGUCCGGAAUUAUUGGGCGUAAAGGUCUCGUAGGCGGUUCGUCACGUCGGGAGUGAAAACUCGGGGCUUAACCCCGAGCCUGCUUCCGAUACGGGCAGACUAGAGGUAGGCAGGGGAGAGCGGAACUCCUGGUGUAGCGGUGGAAUGCGCAGAUAUCAGGAAGAACACCGGUGGCGAAGGCAGAGCACUGGGUGCCACCUGACACUGCUAGGACGAGAGCGUGGGUAGCGAAUGGG
rnacentral:rRNA from 1 species